rnacentral:rRNA from 1 species
GAUGAACGCUGGCGGCGCGCCUAACACAUGCAAGUCGAACGAUUAAAGCACCUUCGGGUGUGUAUAAAGUGGCGAACGGCUGAGUAACACGUGGGCAACCUGCCCCUUUCAUUGGGAUAGCCACGGGAAACCGUGGAUAAUACCGAAUACUUCGAGACUUCCGCAUGGAAGACUCGAGAAAGCUCCGGCGGAGAGGGAUGGGCCCGCGGCCUGUCAGCUUGUUGGUGGGGUAACGGCCUACCAAGGCAAUGAUGGGUAGCUGGGUUGAGAGACCGACCAGCCAGAUUGGGACUGAGACACGGCCCAGACUCCUACGGGAGGCAGCAGUGGGGAAUCUUGCACAAUGGGCGAAAGCCUGAUGCAGCGACGCCGCGUGCGGGAUGAAGGCCUUCGGGUUGUAAACCGCUCUCAGCAGGGACGAGGCGAAAGUGACGGUACCUGCAGAAGAAGCCCCGGCUAACUACGUG